UGCUAUUGUAUUUCCCAUGGAUGGGUUUCAUUUGUAUCGUUCGCAACUUGAUGCAAUGGAGGAUCCCAAAGAAGCCCAUGCGAGAAGAGGAGCUCCAUGGACUUUUGAUCCUGCACUAUUGCUUAACUGUUUAAAGAAGCUGAGAAACGAGUUUUCAAGCUGUUCAGGGAUCAGUUUAUGUACCAUCAUUUGAUCAUGGAGUUGGAGAUCCAGUUGAAGAUGAUAUCUUUGUUAGCCUCCAGUAAGUAGCUUCCCGAACCGGUUGAAUCCUAAUUCAAUAGUAUCAUACAGUGUUCAAGA